rnacentral:tRNA from 1 species
GUGGGGUUCCCGAGCGGCCAAAGGGAGCAGACUGUAAAUCUGCCGUCAUCGACUUCGAAGGUUCGAAUCCUUCCCCGUA